CGAAGCUGCUGCUUCUCUUUCUUUGUUGCUCCUAGGAUUCAGCCCACGCAAGUUUUAGAAGCCCGCUCAAUUCAGCCCAUCUGCAGAGACAUUUCAGUCCAGCCUUUGAAGCCCAUGGAUCCAGCGAAUUCUUCAGCCUAGUGAUUUUAAGCCCAUCUCCAGCAGAUUUUGAAGCCCAAGCUCAGGCCCAAGUUCAGUUGGUUUUAGCCCAUUUGAAGUUCAGCCCAUUUUGGGCUCGCGAAGAAAGCCCAAGCCCGCGACCAGCAGCCCUGCAGAAGCCCAAGACCGAAACUCAACCUUGCUGAGUUGUGUUGGGCCCGUUUUAGGCCCGGUCCAAGUCCAUCGAUGCCGCCGAAAAUUCGGUUUUCGGCCGUCGUCGCGUCGUCGUCACGGUGAACCGGUUUCCCGUGAUUAACCGGGUCGUCGAGUGGAGGACCUGGAGCUGAGAGGAGGUGAUCGGAAGCAUAGGUCAGUUAGGACCGCUUCUUUUUAGAAUGCCAGUCUUUUGUAGUCUUUUGGCAUAGAGAUUUGUACAAGAUUCGGUGUAUAUAUAAAAGCAUGUUUGUUUAUGAA